AGCCUUCUGUAUCAGUGUUGAGAUUUCGUCACACCAGACCACAAGGGCUGCGAAACUUCCAUGAUAAAUGAAGUG
rnacentral:pre_miRNA from 1 species